GACGUAGGAGGCGAGCGUUGUCCGGAUUCAUUGGGCGUAAAGAGCACGCAGGCGGUUUGGCAAGUCGGAUGUGAAAACCCGGAGCUCAACUCCGGACCUGCAUCCGAAACUGCCCGACUAGAGGUAGGUAGGGGAGAUCGGAAUUCCUGGUGUAGCGGUGAAAUGCGCAGAUAUCAGGAGGAACACCGGUGGCGAAGGCGGAUCUCUGGGCCACUACUGACGCUGGAGAAGCGAAAGCAUGGGGAGCGAACAGG
rnacentral:rRNA from 1 species